rnacentral:rRNA from 1 species
CAGAGUUUGAUCUGGCUCAGGAUGAACGCUGGCGGCGUGCCUAACACAUGCAAGUCGAACGAAGCUUGACGGAUGAUUUCUUCGGAAUGAAACCAGAUAUGACUUAGUGGCGGACGGGUGAGUAACACGUGAGCAACCUGCCUUUCAGAGGGGGAUAACGGCUGGAAACGGUCGCUAAUACCGCAUGAUGUGUUCGGAUGGCAUCAUCUGAACAUACAAAGUAUUUAUCGCUAGAAAG